rnacentral:lncRNA from 1 species
AUGGGGAUGAGGAGGAGGAGGGCGGCGGGGAGGACCCCGCUCUCCCCGGGAUGCGCCUCCUCCGCCCGGCUCUCCCUCUCUUUCUCUCUUCGGGGCCUGCCCGCUCCCCGCUGCUGUCCCGAGGCGCAGCCCGGCCCCGGCCGGCCGUCCCGCUCGCCUUCCCCGCCCCUCUCCCCGGCGGCCAGCCGCGCGGUGCACAGGCCCCGCCGGCGGCCAGCAGGACCCGGGGGCGACGGGGGGGGGAUCCGGGCCGGCCUCCCGGCCUCUCCCCGGGGCCUGGUACGCGAUCUCCGCGGGGAGACGAGGCCUGGCGAGGGGCGAGCGGCCCCGGGAAGGUCACCGGCACGGCGCUGCCGGGCACGGGGAAGCUUCCUCCGGCACCGCCGCCGCUACCGCUGCCGGCCCAGCCUCAGCGGCCGCUGGGUGCCGCGCUCUGCCCGGGCUCGCUCCGUGCCGCUACCCGGCAGCCGCCUCCGGGUCCGAGCGCCAGGCUGCCCCCUUCCCCUUUCUUUCUUUCUUCCUUCCUUCCUUCCUUCCUUGCCUCCCGCCCCUUCCCCGCUGCCAGCCUUCCCCCGCCGGCUCCCUCCGGCGCCCGGUGCCAGGCUGCCCCCUGCGGGUCCCGCCGCCGUAGGCUGCCCGCCGCCGGCGGCCCGAGGCGGAGGCGGGCUUGCAGGGCAGCUGCCGCUGCCUACCGGCGGCUACCGAGAACCGCCCGCUCGCCUCCGCCGCUCUGCCCGGGGCUCAGCGGCAGCUGCAGUGCCUGUGUGUCUGUGUCAUGUCUGUGCAUGGGCGGGCGGAGGCGCGGGGCCGAGGCGGAGCCAGCCCGUGACACACCGCCCAGCGACAGGCGCCCGGCGCCCAACCAGCGGCGGCCUCGCCGAGCGGCGCCCGGGGCCGCCGCACCUGGGCCCGGCCGCCGGGGUGAGUGAGGGGAGAGCCGGGGGUGCCCCCGGUCGGGGGCGGCGGGGUGUGCGGCCACGGGGUGCCCGGCGGCGAGCACCCGGCUUCCUACCGCCGGUAACACGCCCGAACCGAGCGCCUCCUCUGCCAGCCUCCCUGCCCGUGUCCUCCUGCGUGCCGGUGAAGCGAUGA